rnacentral:lncRNA from 1 species
GCAAGGCUGGUGAUGGGGAAGGGAAGAGAUGAGGACACAAACAAAGAGAGGAGGGGGUGAGCUCGGAAAAACCUCACCCAGCCAAAGAAGAGGAGGAGUUGAUGGUAAGAUGCUUCCCACAGGUGAGCACGUACCGAGCCCUAAAGAAAUCGGCUACUUUAAUCCUGAUGACCACAUUCUGAAAAUCAGGAAUAUUGUUUUAUGUCCAGUAAAGGGGAGGGGAGCAGAGAAAUAAUACUAAUUGGGCUAAUCACUGCAUUACAUGGUUUUCCACAUAAUCUAACCCAAUUCUUACUGCAAUCCUAUGAAACGAGACACACAAAGAUGCAUAUAUUUUACUCCAGACCAGUUCAUAAAAGUCAGCCAAGAUUCAAAGAGAAAUAUUUCUAUAGCCAAGUCAUUGCUCUACUUGUAAGACUUAUUUCCAAGCUCAUCAAUUUUUUCAUAAUACAAUGAUCACUUAUGACAUAAGCCUCCUUGUAUAUAACCGUCUAUGUAUCCCAGGUGCUAACACAUCCCCCCACCCCCACACCCGGAGAAGGUUCUGUUGGGUUUGAAUGCUUGUCAGCGGCUCCCUCCCUGAAGUUUGCAGCGAGGCGCGCAGUCUGUUAUAAGCACGCGUCACCAUCUUCACUCAACUCCUUGUGUGUGGAGCAGCCCUCUCGUCUCCACCAAGCCCAAGCCUUCCCUGGGCUAGUGAUGCCAGUUUCCAGAAAACACUCCAAACUCCGGAGCACUGAGUUUGCAGGCAGGGCCGCCACACUCAGAACCUGAACCCUGGCGUGGCUCCCACAAGGGCAGGGCCAUUUGUGACACCUCAAGGAGAGCUGGGACUGGCCCAGGACUCCGCUGAAGGAGAAAUUCAGCCAGGGAGGCACAUCCAGACCUUACUAAUAAAACACAGAUGGGGCGGUAUAGGAAACAAUGACGGGCAAGAAAGAAGCUUAUGAUGCACUUUAUUCUAUUUCAAACUUAUUUCAAGCAUUCUCGUUUCUUUGCCUUUCCAGAUAAAUUUUCAAGUAAGUCUGUGUGUAUCUACCAAAACAAUCUUCCUGGUAUUUUGAUCGGAAUCGUAUUAAACUUAUAGAUCAAUACUGGGAACAUUGACAUCUUUACUAUGUUGAGUCUUCCAGUCCAUAAACAUGGUACCUCUUGCAAUUUAGUUAAAUAUUCCUUGGCUUCUAUCACCAGUGUUUUGUAAAUUUAAGUAUUUGGAUGUUGCAUGUGUUCUGUUAGAUUUAUACCUGGGUAUUUUGUCUUCUUUUUGAGCACUCAUGAACAACACGGUGCUUUUCGUUUCAUUUUCUACAUGCUCAUCGCUAGUUUACAAGUGAGAUUGUGUGUGUGUAGGUGUGUAUAUGUGUGUGUUUAUGUGUAUGUGUUUAUGUAUGUAUGUAUAUGUGUUAGUGUAUGUGUGAGUGUAUGUAUGUGUGUAUGUGUGUGCAUGCAUGUGUGUGUCUCUGCGUGUGUCAGUGCCCAUGUGUAUGCAUGUGUCUCCGUGUGCAUGUGUGUAAGUGUAUGUGUGUAUGUGUGUGUGUAUGCGUAUGUAUGCAUGUAUAUGUGUGUAUGUGCGUGUGUAUCGAUCUUUAUUCCAGUGACUUGUUAAAUUAAUUUACCAGUUCUAGCAGUUUGGUAAAAUUUUUUUGAUAGAUUCCUUAGGAUUUUCUACACAAUCAUGUUGCCUGUACAAAGGCACAGUUUUAUUUUUUCCUUCCUAAUCUGUGUGCUUUAGUGGUGUCCUGGAACCCUAGGAGCCCCUGGAAGGUCUUAAACACUCUGGUGACCCUGUGGAGCAUGUAGCAUCGUGGACCCACUGUUUUCUGGCAUUUCUGCUUUUAAAUUUUUUUUUUCAACGUUUAUUUAUUUUUGGGACAGAGAGAGACAGAGCAUGAACGGGGGAGGGGCAGAGAGAGAGGGAGACACAGAAUCGGAAACAGGCUCCAGGCUCCGAGCCAUCAGCCCAGAGCCUGAUGCGGGGCUCGAACUCACGGACCGCGAGAUUGUGACCUGGCUGAAGUCGGCUGAAGUCGGACGCUUAACCGACUGUGCCACCCAGGCGCCCCUGGCAUUUCUGCUUUUAAAAGAGAAGUCAGAAGUGAAAUGGCUCAUGUUUACAUGUAGGCAACAACCUCCACUUAAAUAAAUAUUGUGAUCCAAGCAAAACCUAUUCAUAAGUUCAUGCAAGUCUCGGAUGCGGUCUGUGACCAGUGAGUAAAGCAGAGAAAGUGCAGAGCGUUGUUGUGUCUGCCUAGUACUUACACUGGGGCCACAUGGUGCCCCCAGCAGGCUUUGGAACUGACCUGUCCAGUGCACAGAUGGACUCGAAGGAUUGCUGUGUGGACCUCCUUGGGGCAGGUCCAAGUCUGUUCCCUGGCAUUAUGACUGGGGGCCCGGGGCCUCAGCCCUUCUGGGCUCCUCAUUCUUUAAUGUGAUGUGAAGGCACUAUGUUAAGAGUCUUCCAAAAGCAAUUGGGACUCCUGGGGGGCUCAGUUGGUUAAGCAUCCGACUUUGGCUCAGGUCAUGAUCUCAUGGUUUGUGAGUUCGAGCCCCGUGUCAGGCUCUGUGCUGACAGCUUAGAGCCUGGAGCCUGCUUCAGAUUCUGUGUCUCCCUCUCUCUCUCUGCUCCUCCCCUCCCCUGCUCAUGGUGUCUCUCUGUCUCUCAAAAAUAAUAAAUAAACAUUAAAAAAAAAGAUUCUUCCAGGUGGCAGCUCUAAAUGGGGACUGUAAAUUUCUUGACACUCCUGUUAUUGAGAGUUGGGUGUGUGUCCCCUCCCCUUGAGUCUGGGUGGGCUGGGGCUGUGAAGUCAAUAGCCUAGAGCAGAUUCCCAACUUUUCCCUAUAAGUAUCUUCCUAAGGAGCCUGUUUAGACAUUCUUUUACUAGAAUCCCCACCAUGGGUAUGAAAUUUUAAUACCAAAGAUAUAUGCCUAUAUAUGCCUAUGUUCUAUAUAUCGAUCAAUCGAUCCAUCUGUCAAUUGAUCAUCUAUGUUUUGUAUAUUAAAGAGUAGCAUUUUUUCCCUUCCAAGAACCAAUACUUGUCUUGUCACAAUGCAUGGAUAGAGUAUGGUGACAGUGACCCUGUGUGACUUCUGAGGCCAGGCCCAAAGGAACCCUGUAACUCUGUCCUCCGUCUCUUGAAACACUUGCUCUGGAGACUCUCCUUCUCAGAACCCAGCUCCACACGGAGAGGCCUCCUGUAGGAUCUCAGGUCAACUAUCGAGAUUGAACUCAGUCUUGGCGCAUGUUCCAGACACGCAGAAAAGAAGCUUCCAGAUGACAGCAGCACCCAGCCAUUUAGAUCCCUCCCCCACCACCGCCAUUAUGUCUUCCCAGCUGAGGCCCAGGUUUUUUAGAGCAGAGACAGGCCAUCCCUGCUGCACUCCGUCCGAAUUCUUGACCACAGAAUCUAUGACAUGACAGAAAUAUGGCUGUUUAGUGCCCCACGGAAGAUCUAAGCAGAGAGAACUUGAUGUCCCAGCCCCAGGCAGGAUGGUUCAAGGAACAUGCUGCCUCUGCCGGAUGCACAGAGGGCUGGGGGGUGGCCCCUGGGAGACUCAGCCCUGCGGCGGAAACCUGGGGCCGGACUCCUCAUGCGGUAAUGUGCACGGGCUGCUGGGCCUGGAGGUCUUGCCCUUUUCAGAGGCGCGAACCAGAACCAUGUGGGCUGGAGCUGUCAGCACUGGUGGGAGGUGUUCCCCACAAGAAGCCACCCGCCUCUGCAGAACGCCCCGCUGCCCACCCACACCCUCUCUGCAGUGCCCCGACCACAUUCAAAGGAAGCUUCUACUCGAAAAUGAACCAGCACCUUUCCUAACUGAUGGACUCAAGGAGAGGAACACAGUGCCAGCAAAAUGCAGCUGGGGAACUUGCUUUGUGAGCGCCAGGGCCCCAGGACACAGAGGAAGAGUCCAGCUGGCCAGUUCAACUCAGUCUCGGAGAAAUUAUGGACAACAUGACCUCUCUAAAGAAGGAGCUCAGAAAAGAGAUAGAGGUCCCCAGAAUCGUUCAAAAUAAAAUAUCUGAGCACUAGGUAUUGUAUGGAAACCAAUUUGAC